rnacentral:rRNA from 1 species
GACGAACGCUGGCGGCGUGCUUAACACAUGCAAGUCGAACGGAAAGGCCCUGCUUUUGUGGGGUGCUCGAGUGGCGAACGGGUGAGUAACACGUGAGUAACCUGCCCUUGACUUUGGGAUAACUUCAGGAAACUGGGGCUAAUACCGGAUAGGAUCUCCUGCUGCAUGGUGGGGGUUGGAAAGUUUCGGCGGUUGGGGAUGGACUCGCGGCUUAUCAGCUUGUUGGUGGGGUAGUGGCUUACCAAGGCUUUGACGGGUAGCCGGCCUGAGAGGGUGACCGGCCACAUUGGGACUGAGAUACGGCCCAGACUCCUACGGGAGGCAGCAGUGGGGAAUAUUGCACAAUGGGAGGAAGCCUGAUGCAGAAACGCCGCGUGCGGGAUGACGGCCUUCGGGUUGUAAACCGCUUUCGCCUGUGACGAAGCGUGAGUGACGGUAAUGGGUAAAGAAGCACCGGCUAACUACGUG